GUGACUCUCUGCUUAAGAAAAACUGUCUUAGAGUGAAGAAAGAAAAUGAUCGUCAAGAGGAGGAAAGGAUGGGGGUCACACAAAGAGAAAGAGCUAGACCUGACCCCUUUUCUACUCCAGGAAUGAGAUAUAAGCCAGGGGGCAAUCCUGAGGCUGAGAAGGCCCCCGGGAUGGAAGACUCUCCUGAAGGGUUGGAGGUGGCCAGGACUGAGGUUGCAGCACCAAAUGAGGACCAAAAGCAAGGUGGAUGGGAAAGAGACCAAGAGAACAAAAUAGAUGGCUUAAUGACUUAACUUCAUCCAGAGAGUGGAAAGUAAAAUGCAGGAUUCCACCCCCUGCCCUUCUAUUUCAUCUUUAUCUUUGAAAACUACAGGAAAAGGUGGGCUCUUUUGGCUUCCUGACAUGGAUGAGGAUCUUGAAAAAGAAACUUGGCAGACCUUCUCUGUUCCCUGGGGCUACAGCAAAGCAGUAGAGGACGAAGGAGAACAUAUAUGCCA